rnacentral:rRNA from 1 species
AUACGAGGGGUGUAAGCGUUAUUCGGAAUUACUGGGCGUAAAGGGUGCGUAGACGGCGUAUUAAGUCUGUUGUUAAAUUUUUCGGCCUAACCGAAAAGCCGCGAUGGAAACUGGUAUGCUAGAGAAUGAGAGAGAGAAGUGGAAUUCCCGGAGUAGCGGUAAAAUGCGUGGAUCUCAGGAGGAACACCGAUGGCGAAGGCAGCUUCUUGGCUCAUUUCUGACGUUCAGGCACGAAAGCGUGGGGAGCAAACAGGAUUAGAAACCCCGGUAGUCC